AAGUAACAAAAACAAGCAUCUUUAAAGACAAUCUUCAAAAAGAAAGGUGACUGGUUUUCCAGAGUCUUUAUUUUAUUCAACUACUGAUUUCCUCCCCCCCAAAUCAUUAUUAGUUUUACCAAAAGGAUUUAAAUAAUCAGACAUUUUCUUUUUUUUUAGUAGGCACACAUUAAAAAAAAAAGUAGUAUAUCAGAAAAACCACUACCUCAACAGCAUGCAAACUCUGGUGAACUGAGGCCUUUAUAAAGAAAGGCAGUAAGUAAAAUAUACCUGACAUUUAACAUGAAGCUGUGUGGAAGGGGCUAGAGGAGGCUACCCUAGCCCCUUAUUUAAAAAAAAACACUUGUAUCAAAUUUAAUAGAUUAUUUUUAACCAGGAUGAUGAUGCUUAGUUGAAAUUCUACUCAGAUUUUGCCAUCUUUUUUUAUUUUAGUCUUGCAUGGCAGACCUUUUGGUUGUUUGGUCAUUCCAGCGACUCAGCCCUAAUUGGCUUUUAUAAAGUUCCGGAAAAAUUGCAGAAUAAUUGCAUUGUCUUAAAAGAAGGGGAUUCUUGGUUAUUGGUUCACAAUGCAAAAAUGUGGAUUUCAAGUGUAACUUAUUUGGUAGAUCAAUACAAACAUUUUGCCUCUUUUAAACUUCUACAGCUCACAUCCAGCACUAAUCAUGACCAGACGCUUGUGGUAUAAAUAUUACUUUCCUGAGGAAAUUUUCACAACUUUCUCAUAUUAUUUUGCCAUCAAAAAAUACCCUUGAUAAGUAAGAAAGGGUGUAGCUUAUUAUCAACUACUCUUUCUGUGAAAAGAAAGGUUAAUUUUUUUUAGGGAGGAACACUGAACUAUUAUGAAUCCUAUAUUCCUGAAUAAAUAAUAGAUGGUAAGAAUUGUUGGAGACUCGGUCUGAUAUAGCAGCAGGGGUGAGCUUCAAAAAUUUUAGCAAUGGGUUCUCUGCCCGUUACUGGAUGGACGUGGACAUGGUGGACAUGAUCUAGUUGGCCUCUUGCAUCACAGCAGGUGGGGGCGUUUUUGCCCUCCACAGGCUCUGGAGGCUUUCAUGAAAUGUUUAAAUGUGUAUUGGCAGUCAAAGCUUUUUGCCUUGAUAUUAAAAGUACAGAUAUUUUAUGUGUCUGCAAAAAUAUAUAU